GGAUGCGAUCAGACCAGGACUAAAGCACCGGAUCCCAUCAGAACUCCGCAGAUAAGCGUGCUUGGGCAAGAGUAGUACUAGGAUGGGUGACCCCCUGGGAAGUCCUCGUGUUGCAUCCC
rfam:Ananas comosus cultivar MD2 ACMD2_Scaffold_2226, whole genome shotgun sequence.